rnacentral:rRNA from 1 species
AGUGAACGCUGGCGGUAGGCCUAACACAUGCAAGUCGAACGGCAGCACAGUAAGAGCUUGCUCUUACGGGUGGCGAGUGGCGGACGGGUGAGGAAUACAUCGGAAUCUACUUUUUCGUGGGGGAUAACGUAGGGAAACUUACGCUAAUACCGCAUACGACCUACGGGUGAAAGCAGGGGAUCUUCGGACCUUGCGCGAUUGAAUGAGCCGAUGUCGGAUUAGCUAGUUGGCGGGGUAAAGGCCCACCAAGGCGACGAUCCGUAGCUGGUCUGAGAGGAUGAUCAGCCACACUGGAACUGGGACAGGGUCCAGACGCCUACGGGAGGCAGCAGUGGGGAAUAUUGGACAAUGGGCGCAAGCCUGAUCCAGCCAUACCGCGUGGGUGAAGAAGGCCUUCGGGUUGUAAAGCCCUUUUGUUGGGAAAGAAAAGCAGCAGGUUAAUACCCCGCUGUUCUGACGGUACCCAAAGAAUAAGCACCGGCUAACUUCGUG